AUGGGCUAUCUAGUAGGUAACCCGGCAACAGGUGAAAGGAUCGACGAAAGCUCCAAAGUGCCUUUUGCUCACGGAUUCGGUAUAAUAUCAGAUCAAUUAUAUGAGACGAUAUUGGGGCAUUGCCAAGGACAAGACUACAAGAAUCCUACAAACGUGUUGUGUGCAAAAGCUUUGCAUACUUUCCAUAUAUAUGACCAAGUACUCCAAUUGCAGCUCCUCUCUGAAUUUAUGUCGCCGCAUAUUUUGUUGAUCACAUGUGUUUAUUCAUCUGCUGGACCACAUGCGGAGAUGGACGAUUCGGCUAGUGCUAGCUGGAAGAUCUUAAGCGAGGAAGCAGCUGGAAUCAAAAUGGGGAAACGGCUGGAACAUCCGCCAGUUCGCCCUCCACUUGACUGUAUUGAAUACGCCCACUACCUGUCGUAUUUCUGGGCAAACGACGAGCGCACCCAAGACGCCCUCGGCAUAGAGGACGGCACCGUGGACGAGUGGGUGAGGUGCCAAGAUGGCGGCGUCCCCUACACCAGAGACAUCCUGAGCAGCAUCAAGUAUCGCCGGAACGUUACAGCCAACGGCUAG
rnacentral:rRNA from 1 species